AUACGGAGGGUGCAAGCGUUAUCCGGAAUCAUUGGGUUUAAAGGGUCCGUAGGCGGGCAAUUAAGUCAGGGGUGAAAUCCCACAGCUCAACUGUGGAACUGCCUUUGAUACUGGUUGUCUUGAGUUAUACUGAAGUAGAUAGAAUAUGUAGUGUAGCGGUGAAAUGCAUAGAUAUUACAUAGAAUACCGAUUGCGAAGGCAGUCUACUAAGUAUAUACUGACGCUAAUGGACGAAAGCGUGGGGAGCGAACAGGAUUAGAUACCCCAGUAGUCC
rnacentral:rRNA from 1 species